rnacentral:piRNA from 1 species
UUGCAGGUGUUUGGCACCAGACAGUCUCGGU